rnacentral:lncRNA from 1 species
AUGAAAAUAAAAGAGCAUGCUUCUAAUCUUCAAACUUCUUAGUUUAAAAAAAUGGCGAUAACCUUACAACAUUUUCCAGACUCUUGUCCAUACUGAAAAUGGUUCAUGCAUUAAGGAACACCACACAAAGUAUGGAAUCCAAAAAAACUAACAACAAGCGACAGUGACAUGGAUGGCUACCUUAUUGCUUUGGAAGUGGAUGGCAUGAGCCGUCGCUUAGAUGCACGAAACAGUCCCGACCAUGUACAGCUAGCCAAGAAACGUUGGGUCAAAACAAGGAGUUGGUACCUUGAGCAACGACGCCAUCGCGUUGACAUUUGCCCAACCCAACUGCUCAUGGCCAUCCUCGGCCACCACCUAUCCACCUGGACACACUCCUCUAGACCCAGGCGUUCUGAACGGCAUCCUCCCUGCUUCCCCAGCAUGAUGGCCGACUACCGUAACUUCUCUAGAGUGAAUCCUUCCAAAGGCGCUGCCGACAACAUCAUCCCUGUGGUGAUGCGUCUUCCUUCUUGUGCCUUUUGCUCCAUUGACCUCCUUCCUAUGAAAUUUCGGUAACAAGGUACAUUUCAGUAAUCAGUAAAAAAAUGCAGAUUUUAGUACAAGAGAAAUGAGCGUCUUGACAAAGGUUUAGUAGAAAUCAGAUUUCCGUACAACAAGAUAUUUUAGUACCUACUAAAAAGAAUAGUACAAGGGCAAUCAUCCGAACAAUAUCAUCAUAAGUAUGAACUAAACCUUUAGUCGCAGCAGGUACCUACUAAAUAGGAAGUGGAUGAUAUUCAUAUUACCCAUGUCAUCUCAAUAUCAUCAUAUGUUUAUUGUAGAAAAUCAUAAGCAUCAACACCACUACCUGGAAGACAUAUCUCCUAGCUUCUUUAUGAUUCAGAAUUCAACCCCAUGGAAGCUAAUAUGAAUAUCAUCUCAAGGAUCUAGAUAAAAUACCUGGAACAAAACUCAAUGAAGAACCAUAACAUCGAUCGAAACUAAACAUGAAAAUUUUGAACUCGCUGACUUUAUAUCAGUCUAGUAGUAAUAGUAGUACAAUCGCUGGUAGAAAAUGCAAUUCUCAACGUGCAUAUAGAUAUGCUAUUAUCUUGCUGCUAGAAAAUGUAGCGCUCAAGGUACAUAUAGAUAUGCCAUUGUCUUGCUGUGAAAUAGACUGCUUGGUUUGUUAGCUAGAUUAGGAAACCUAAGCUUUCCAACAAUUCCAAUCUGGAAGCACAAUCAGACCUCAUAGCCUUAAAGAUAAAUGAAAAGCAAUCAAACCAUUGGCGAGAACUUCUAAUUACGGCUCCGAGAGAACUCUAAUCCAUUUGUAAUUUGCCUAGAAAUAAAAUCAAUCAAACUGUAAUUUGCCUAGAAACAUGACCUCAAUGGCAUGCAUACCAUCACCUUUCAUAUCUUUUGUGGCAUUAAAUGAUUGUUGCAUUGUCUACGGAUGAGCCAAAAUUGCUAUGCCCCCAGUUCUACAAAUUAGAUGCACAAUAGAUUCCCCAUUCAGCCUAAUACCGCUGCAAAUGAACAAUAGAAAUCCACAUUAGUAAAUACAUCACGUCCCUGGUUAAGUAGUUAAUUUCAAGCCCAAAAAAUUAACACACUCCUGGCCAACAAUGUGCACGGUUAACCAUGAGCUACCGCAUCCUUGCCAAGUGUCCUCGUCCCACUCUUCCACUUGGCGUGAGGCCUCAACGGGAC